GUGGAGAUCGGCAAUGCUUUGCAGCAUCUUUGUUUGAGCAUCGUGGCCAAUCUCGCUGCCGUGUGUGUGGCACAGUAUCUGCAGGUUCCUAUUUCCCCAGCUGCUACUGCAGGCUAAGAUCAUGUUGCCAUCAUUGGACACGACCUCGCGGACAAUUUGAUGAUGCUGCUUAGCUUAAUAUGCAUCAAUCGGACCCAUUGCAUAAUAUCUCACGG
rnacentral:lncRNA from 1 species